rnacentral:lncRNA from 1 species
CGAAAAACUCUAGGGGUCCCUAUCCUACAACCCUGAUACUAGACCUCCAGAUUUUUCUAUCAAGGGUCAUGUCCUCGGAAACCCGCAUUGUAGCCAUGUCAUUCCUAAUCACCUCUCCCAAUACCUCUUAGGUCUCCCUCUGCCUCGCCGAACGCCGAUCAUCGCCAGCCGUUCACAACUCCUCACCGGGGCAUCAGGACUUCUCCUCUGCA